AUGAGUAGCACAGUCGGCCCGAUCAUGAGUUGGAACAUCAGGGGCCUGAACAAUCCAGCCCGGCGAUCCGUAGUGGAGGACACGGCAAACACACACUACCUCGCCAUUCCCUGCAUCCAGGAAACCAAGCUUGAAGAGUGGACACCAGUAAUCGCCAGGGAAGUAGGAGGCCCAAGACUAGACGACUACAUUGUUCUGCCUGCUAACGGCACAAGAGGAGGCGCCACCAUCUUCUAGGAUUCAACAUCACUUAGAAUUCAAUACCACGCGAUCGGGGAGUUCUCCAUCACGACCAAGGUCACUGUUCUCUCCUCAGGAGCUAGUUUUUGGUUGACGACAGUUUACAGGCCAUCUGAGGGCGCUAGAAAGGAUAGUUUCUUGGCUGAGCUAGUAAGAGGCGCCCCCUCGAGGAGAACCAUGGCUACUAAAUGGUGA
rnacentral:rRNA from 1 species